rnacentral:rRNA from 1 species
CUUGAAACUCAAAGGACUUGACGGUGCUUUACAUCCCCCUAGAGGAGCCUGUUCCAUAAUCGAUAAACCCCGAUCCACCCUACCCUCUCUUGCUCAGCCUAUAUACCGCCAUCUUCAGCAAACCCUAAUGAAGGCCACAAAGUGAGCGCAAACGCCGCCACCGCGAAUACGUUAGGUCAAGGUGUAGCCCAUGAGACGGUAAAAAAUGGGCUACAUUUUCUAUUUCAGAAAACCCACGAAAACCCUUAUGAAACUUAAGGGUCCAAGGAGGAUUUAGCAGUAAAUUAAGAAUAGAGUGCUUAAUUGAACCAGGCCAUAAAGCGCGCACACACCGCCCGUCACUCCUCUCAAAUAUAUUUAAGGAAUAUCCUAACUAAACGCCCUAAUAUUUAUAUAGAGAGGAUAAGUCGUAACAUGGUAAGCGUACUGGAAGGUGCGCUUGGAUAAAU